AUUGAACGCUGGCGGCAGGCCUAAUACAUGCAAGUCGAACGCGUGGCGGACGGGUGAGUAAUGUCUGGACAACUGCCUGAUGGAGGGGGAUAACUACUGGAAACGGUAGCUAAUACCGCAUAACAUCAGAUGUGCCCAGAUGGGAUUAGGUUGUUGGUGGGGUAACGGCUCACCAAGGCGACGAUGCAUAGCUGGUCUGAGAGGAUGACCGGCCAAACUGGAACUGAGACACGGCCCAGACUCCUACGGGAGGCAGCAGUGGGGAAUAGUGCACAAUGGGCGCAAGCCUGACACAGCCAUGCCGCGUGUGUGAAGAAGGCCUUCGGGUUGUAAAAUUCUUUUAGCAGGGAGGCGUUACCCGCAUAAAAAGCACCGGCUAACUCCGUGCCAGCAGCCGCGGUAAUUC
rnacentral:rRNA from 1 species